AGUUACCUGAGCUGAUGGACAGGUGAGGGAGUUAGACGGGAUGGAUUUACAGGAGGUCAAGGUGAGGGAGUUACAGGUGAGAGAGAGAGUCACAGCGGAGAGAGUCACAGGAGUUACAGGUGAGGGAGUCACAGGAGUUACAGGUGAGGGAGUUACAGGUGAGAGAGUCACGUGAGUUACAGGUGAGAGAAUUACAGGUGAGAGAGUCACAGGAGUUACAGGUGAGAGAGUCACAGGAGUUACAGGUGAGAGAGUUACAAGUGAGGGAGUUACAGGAGUUACAGGUGAGAGAGUCACAGGAGUUACAGGUGAGAGAGUCACAGGAGUUACAGGUGAGAGAGUCACAGGAGUUACAGGUGAGAGAGUCACAGGAGUCACAGGUGAGAGAGUUACAAGUGUGAGAGUCACAGGAGUUACAGGUGAGAGAGUCACAGGAGUUACAGGUGAGAGAGUUACAGGUGAGGGAGUUACAGGAGUUAC
ensembl:lncRNA